rnacentral:rRNA from 1 species
AGAGUUUGAUCCUGGCUCAGGAUGAACGCUAGCGGCAGGCCUAAUACAUGCAAGUCGAACGGGAUUGGAGAGCUUGCUUUCCAUGAGAGUGGCGUACGGGUGCGUAACGCGUAUGCAACCUACCUUCAUCAGGGGGAUAGCCCGAAGAAAUUCGGAUUAACACCGCAUAAAAACACAACCUGGCAUCAGGAAAUGUUCAAAUAUUUAUAGGAUGAAGAUGGGCAUGCGUGUCAUUAGCUAGUUGGCGAGGUAACGGCUCACCAAGGCGACGAUGACUAGGGGAUCUGAGAGGAUGACCCCCCACACUGGUACUGAGACACGGACCAGACUCCUACGGGAGGCAGCAGUAAGGAAUAUUGGUCAAUGGAGGCAACUCUGAACCAGCCAUGCCGCGUGCAGGAAGACAGCCCUAUGGGUCGUAAACUGCUUUUAUACGGGAAUAAACCUUGAUUCGUGAAUCGAGCUGAAUGUACCGUAAGAAUAAGGAUCGGCUAACUCCGUGCCAGCAGCCGCGGUAAUACGGAGGAUCCAAGCGUUAUCCGGAUUUAUUGGGUUUAAAGGGAGCGUAGGCGGCUUGUUAAGUCAGGGGUGAAAGACGGUGGCUCAACCAUCGCAGUGCCUUUGAUACUGACGAGCUUGAAUAUAGUUGAGGUAGGCGGAAUGUGACAAGUAGCGGUGAAAUGCAUAGAUAUGUCACAGAACACCGAUUGCGAAGGCAGCUUACUAAGCUAUUAUUGACGCU